UCGAACGAUGAAGCCCUUCGGGGUGGAUUAGUGGCGAACGGGUGAGUAACACGUGGGCAAUCUGCCCUUCACUCUGGGACAAGCCCUGGAAACGGGGUCUAAUACCGGAUAACACUCGCCGAGGCAUCUCGGUGGGUUGAAAGCUCCGGCGGUGAAGGAUGAGCCCGCGGCCUAUCAGCUUGUUGGUGAGGUAGAAGCUCACCAAGGCGACGACGGGUAGCCGGCCUGAGAGGGCGACCGGCCACACUGGGACUGAGACACGGCCCAGACUCCUACGGGAGGCAGCAGUGGGGAAUAUUGCACAAUGGGCGAAAGCCUGAUGCAGCGACGCCGCGUGAGGGAUGACGGCCUUCGGGUUGUAAACCUCUUUCAGCAGGGAAAAAGCGAAAGUGACGGUACCUGCAGAAGAAGCGCCGGCUAACUACGUGCCAGCAGCCGCGGUAAUACGUAGGGCGCAAGCGUUGUCCGGAAUUAUUGGGCGUAAAGAGCUCGUAGGCGGUCUGUCACGUCGGAUGUGAAAGCCCGGGGCUUAACCCCGGGUCUGCAUUCGAUACGGGCAGACUAGAGUGUGGUAGGGGAGAUCGGAAUUCCUGGUGUAGCGGUGAAAUGCGCAGAUAUCAGGAGGAACACCGGUGGCGAAGGCGGAUCUCUGGGCCAUUACUGACGCUGAGGAGCGAAAGCGUGGGGAGCGAACAGGAU
rnacentral:rRNA from 1 species